UUCAUUCCUUUUAUAUUACAUGCUUUUUUUCACAAAAAUAUUAAUUGUAGAUUUCAUUCAGACAGAUACCUGGAAGAUAGACACUGUCCUACUUUCUUUCGUGCUGCCUGCACUUGUGUGCAACCUGCAGAGGAGGAUGGACUAAAACCUGUCAGCAUACUGAAAUAAUGUUCUUAGGAGUGAAAUAUUGUCAAAGUCAUGACUCUACAUAUCAUUUAAUGUCUUAAAGAAAUGGCAAAAAAAGUCCAAUUUUUCCUGCAUGUGCUAAAUA